UACGUAGGGCGCAAGCGUUAUCCGGAAUUAUUGGGCGUAAAGAGCUCGUAGGCGGUUUGUCGCGUCUGCCGUGAAAGUCCGGGGCUCAACUCCGGAUCUGCGGUGGGUACGGGCAGACUAGAGUGAUGUAGGGGAGACUGGAAUUCCUGGUGUAGCGGUGAAAUGCGCAGAUAAUCAGGAGGAACACCGGUGGCGAAGGCGGUUCUCUGGGCAUUACCUGACGCUGAGGAGCGAAAGUGUGGGGGAGCGAACAGG
rnacentral:rRNA from 1 species